UACGUAGGGGGGCAAGCGUUGUCCGGAUUUAUUGGGCGUAAAGAGCGUGUAGGCGGCCUGGUAGGUCAGCUGUGAAAACUCGAGGCUCAACCUCGAGACGCCGGUUGAAACCAUCAGGCUAGAGUCCGGAAGAGGAGAGUGGAAUUCCCGGUGUAGCGGUGAAAUGCGCAGAUAUCGGGAAGAACACCCGUGGCUAAGGCGGCUCUCUAGUACGGUACUGACGCUGAGGUGCGAAAGCGUGGGGAGCAAACAGG
rnacentral:rRNA from 1 species